UAUGUGUGUGAGAGAUGUUGAAAUGUAAGUGGAAAGCAACAAUAAAAAAAUAGAAAAAUAAAAGUGUGGUAAUUGUACAUACUUCUAUAAAUUACAGAUUGUCCAACCAGAAGCCAAAAGAUGACGAUUCCUCUGUUUGGUGGUGGAAAGAAAGGUCGUGCAUCUGGACGUGGUGGGAUGAAUCGAUGUGGUGACAAACUGGAUGGAAGCCAAAAACCAUCUUCUCCACAGCUGCACUUUUGUUCAUUGUUCAAUUUGCACUUAAAUUCAUGGUUCAGUAGUUUUAUUGUGUGCAAAUAAAUUAUUUUGCUACAAAAACA